rnacentral:rRNA from 1 species
UACGUAGGUGGCGAGUGUUGUCCGGAUUUAUUGGGCGUAAAGCGCGCGCAGGCGGUUCGUUAAGUCUGGUGUGAAAGCUCCUGGCUCAACUAGGAGAGGUCACUGGAUACUGGCGGACUCGAGGGAGGCAGAGGAAGGUGGAAUUCCCGGUGUAGUGGUGAAAUGCGUAGAGAUCGGGAGGAACACCAGUGGCGAAGGCGGCCUUCUGGGCCUUUCCUGACGCUGAGGCGCGAAAGCGUGGGGAGCGAACCGG